AGGCAGCAUAGUGUUUCCAGUCUAAGCUGCAGAAGCGCUGGCAGUGUUGUGGCCUGGAGGUGGACUCAGAGGGCGGCGCAGAGCCUUACUUGCGGAGAGGCAAGUCCCGGCUGCUGCGGGCCGAAGCGGGUAGGGGCGCGCUCAGAGCUGCGCGCCUUGCCUGAGCCCUCCUCCCGGCUUUAGCGCUCACAA
rfam:Rattus norvegicus chromosome 6, whole genome shotgun sequence.